rnacentral:rRNA from 1 species
UACGUAGGGUGCAAGCGUUAAUCGGAAUUACUGGGCGUAAAGCGUGCGCAGGCGGUUAUGCAAGACAGAGGUGAAAUCCCCGGGCUCAACCUGGGAACUGCCUUUGUGACUGCAUAGCUAGAGUACGGUAGAGGGGGAUGGAAUUCCGCGUGUAGCAGUGAAAUGCGUAGAUAUGCGGAGGAACACCGAUGGCGAAGGCAAUCCCCUGGACCUGUACUGACGCUCAUGCACGAAAGCGUGGGGAGCAAACAGGG